GGGCCCGCACAAGCGGUGGAGCAUGUGGUUUAAUUCGAUGAUACGCGAGGAACCUUACCAGGGCUUAAAUGCAGUCGGACAGGGGCGGAAACGCCCCCUUCUUCGGACUGGCUGCAAGGUGCUGCAUGGUUGUCGUCAGCUCGUGCCGUGAGGUGUCAGGUUAAGUCCUAUAACGAGCGCAACCCCUGUGGUUAGUUGCCAGCGAGUAAUGUCGGGAACUCUAGCCAGACUGCCGGUGCAAACCGUGAGGAAGGUGGGGAUGACGUCAAAUCAUCACGGCCCUUACGUCCUGGGCUACACACGUGCUACAAUGGCAGGUACAGAGAGCAGCCACGCCGCAAGGCGGAGCGAAUCUACAAAACCUGUCUCAGUUCGGAUCGGGGUCUGCAACUCGACCCCGUGAAGCUGGAAUCGCUAGUAAUCG
rnacentral:rRNA from 1 species